rnacentral:rRNA from 1 species
CCCACAUACGGCGAGUGACAGGCAAGAGCUCAGAUUUGAAAGCCUCUCGGGGCAUUGUAUUCUGAAGCCUUGAUUCUGAGAAACGGUACCUAAGUCUUCUGGAAAGGAGCGCCAAGGAGGGUGAUAGCCCCGUACGGUACUGACCUCAUUGUAGAAUCUUGGCGUGGAGUCGAGUUGUUUGGGAAUGCAGCUCAAAUGGGUGGUAUGCUCCAUCUAAAGCUAAAUAUCUGCGAGAGACCGAUAGCGAACAAGUACUGUGAAGGAAAGAUGAAAAGAACUUUGAAAAGAGAGUGAAAAAGUACGUGAAAUUGUUGAAAUGGAAGGAUAGGCCGCUAACCACGUAGAGCCGUGUCUGAGGGGAGGAUAAAAGCUGUAGAAUGUGACUCUUCGGAGUGUUAUAGCUACAGUGCAUACUCCCACUCGGGCGCGAGGACCUAAGGCUCUGCUAAAUGGUGGUCUAUCACCCGUCUU